rnacentral:lncRNA from 10 species
UGAUUCUCCUGCCUCAGCCUCCCAAGUAGCUGGGAUUACAGGCACGUGCCACCACACCCAGCUAAUUUUGGUAUUUUUAGUAGAGAUGGGGUUUCACCAUGUUGGCCAGGCUGGUCUCAAACUCAUGACCUCAGGUGAUCCACCUUCUUUGCCCUCCCAAAGGGCUGGGAUUUUAGGCAGGGUUGUUAUUUAAGCUGAGAACUGGAGAUAUGGAAGCCAGGCAAAGGUCAGUGUGACUGGUUAUCUGGGGGUGAGAAAAAAAGGCUGCAGAGGGGAAGCUGGCCAGGUGGGCAAUGGCUUGAUCUGCAGAGAUUUGGAUGAUACUGCUGAGAGUCCAGGUUGAUUUUCAAAACUUUGGGAAAAAAAAAAUAGAUGGCACCAUUAAUAAAUAGAUGCCUACUUUUAUAUUCAUCAGGGAAUCUCUGCUCCGGGAACUCACAGAUACUUAAACUGAUAGGAGAAAGACCCCCUGCCUGCCUCCCUUCUUCUUUUCCAACGUUCUGACCUUUCUCCUGUGCCUUCCUGGCCCUUUGCAUGGCUCCUUUCCCCAUAUUGUGAGUGCCCCAGUGGCUUGAUGUCACUGAGAACAUCAUAUGCAGAUGGAGGGUUCUUUUCUUGGAGAGAUUGUGAUUCAGUCAUUCAAGAUGAUUCAAUCAUUCAAGAAAAGAAAACUUGCACUUGCUGAAAAUGUUCUAGAAGCCAGCUGCUGUGCCAUAGGAGUAAAAAACUUUUAUUAAAAUAUUUUACAUGUAUAUAUGUAUAUAAAUUUCACAGGACAUAAUUCUACAGGUCGAGGAGUUUCGCAGACAUAACUCCUUGGGAGCAGUGCCCAGGUCAAGAAAGAAAAUGUGGCCAAUGCCCCAGGAUCUUAUUUGGUCAUCCAGGCUGGACUGCAGUGGUGUGAUCAUAGCUCACUGCAGCCUCAAACUGCUGGACUCCAGUGAUCUUCCAGCCUCAGCCUCCCCCGGUAGCAAGGACUACAGGUCUCACUCUCUGUCGCCCAGCCUGGAGUGCAGUGGCAUCAUCUGAGCUCACUACAACCUCCGCCUCCCGGGUUCAAGCGAUUCUCCUGCCUCAGCCUCCUGAGUAGCUGGGACUACAGGCACGCGCCACCACGCCCAGCUAAUUUUCGUAUUUUUAAUAGACAUGGGGUUUCACCAUGUUGGCCAGGCUGCUCUUGAACUGCUAACCUCAAGUGAUCCACCAGCGUUGGCCUCUCAAAGUACUAGGAUUACAGUGCUAGGAGCCACCAUGCCCGGCCGCCUCUCUUUUCUUUUACACAUGAAGAAAAAGUGGUCAGAGAAGUUAACUUGGUCAGUGCCAAAAGCACUGGAAGUGAGUAGGACCAAGCUUUUCAUCUAGAUUUGUUUGUUAGACUCUAAAUCCAAAUUCACAACAAGAUCAGAAUAUGAGAAACCUAAGGAACAAAAUUCUAGGAAUCAUUUCUAGAAACUGUGGCUAUUGAAAAAGCACAGACCUAGGGAAUCAAAUUAUUUUCCCUGCCACCAGCACAUGGGUAGGCCUGUGACAAAUUCCAUGCUCUGGACCCCAGAUUCCUCAGUGAGAAUAGAAGGGGCUAGAGACAUCAGGGAAUUGGAUUUGGUGACUUUAAUACCCACUCAGCUCCAAAGCAUUCUUGAAUGAUGCACGAUUUAUGAAUAUAUAUAUUGAAAUUUACUGAUGGGUGAACAGCUCUCAACAUGAGAUUUUUGUUGUAUGCCUUAAAAAAGAUUAUACAUAAAUAUGCGUGUGUGUGUGUAUGUAUGUUUCGAUGUAUAUGAACCCAUGAUCUGAAAAAUGGCCACUGUGGCUUGUGGAAACCUAUUAAUCUCUGCUGUUCCACCCAACAUCCUCAGAGAAAAAAAUAAACAACUUUUUGAAAGUGCUGCCAUGGGGUCAGACCAAAUACUGUGGCCACUUCCAAGGGGUUUGCCUUGAUUUGCCUGGAUUCCUGUUCAUGUGACAUCUGCCUUCUAAUUCAAGGAUAUGAUCAAUUCAAUGUGUGAGUUAUCAAUCAAGGACUGGCAACAGUGAUGCUGAACAAGCCUGGUGGAAGGAAAGAGAAGGCAGGCCAGAGCCCAGACAGACGCAUUCACAAACCUUACAAAGAGGACAGGCUAAUUAGGGGCUGUAGUUCUCCCUCUCUUUAUAGUUGGUAUAAGAGGAGUGGUAAUCGUAGUGUCCAAAAAUAUAUGGGCUACAUAGUUGCUUAGUAAGCUGUGGGUAUGUGGUUUCUUCUGCAAGGUGCUUUCUUUCUGAUAAAGAGAUUACGUUGUUUGUUUGUUCAUUUAUUGAACAUAUUUACACUUACACACACACACACACACACACACAAUGUUCCAGAUACCGUACUUGGCAAUGGUAGUUAGACCUUGCUCUUGCAAAAUUUAUAAUGAAGUUGGGAAGUGUGGUUUGAUCCCUCAAAGUGUCCAAAUCCUAAUCCCCAG